AGUGAACGCUGGCGGUAGGCCUAACACAUGCAAGUCGAACGGCAGCACCGUAAGAGCUUGCUCUUACGGGUGGCGAGUGGCGGACGGGUGAGGAAUACAUCGGAAUCUACUUUUUCGUGGGGGCUAACGUAGGGAAACUUACGCUAAUACCGCAUACGACCUACGGGUGAAAGCAGGGGAUCUUCGGACUUUGCGCGAUUGAAUGAGCCGAUGUCGGCCUAGCUAGUUGGCGGGGUAAAGGCCCACCAAGGCGACGAUCCGUAGCUGGUCUGAGGGGAAGAUUAGCCACACUGGAACUGAGAAACGGUCCAGACUCCUACGGGAGGCAGCAGUGGGGAAUAUUGGACAAUGGGCGCAAGCCUGAUCCAGCCAUACCGCGUGGGUGAAGAAGGACUUCGGGUUGUAAAGCCCUUUUGUUGGGAAAGAAAAGCAGCAGGUUAAUACCCCGCGGUUCUGACGGUACCCAAAGAAUAAGCACCGGCUAACUUCGUG
rnacentral:rRNA from 1 species